rnacentral:lncRNA from 1 species
UUCAUCUACACCACUAACCGAUUGGGAGUUUCCGGUGACCCACAAAAAUGGUAAACAAUCUUAGCCACCAGUGGGUUUCAAGUUUAGUCAAAUCAGAGGUGAAGUGUUUCUUUGUGCGAAAGCAUUUAUGGACGUAAGAGAGGAUGUUUAGACCAAUUGUGAUGAGAAGCGGUUGAUGAGGAAGCAAUCACAUGACCAAUUGAAUUGCAUUCGCUAGAUACAUCAAUCUCACACAAGAUUGGAUAGAUAAUCAUUAUCGAGUAUGGGUUCUUUCAAAACGAAGGAGGUUAUGGAAACUGGGCACUUUUAAAACCAUUCAUCUAGAUGGCUGCGCUUGAUUUCUAGGUUUGUUAGAAAGUGACAAAGUUUGGUAUUAAUGUGUUAUUGAUGGUGAUAUUCUAAUGUAUUAGUACUUGCGCCACGGUUGAAGGAUCAAAUGGCAGAGUUGAAACAAGAUGAAGCAUGAUAUGAAGGAGAAAUUUGUAUCUUUAUAUUGUUAGGUUUCAAUAAGUUUGAUAUUCUUUUUCCUAUUUCGUUUGUAUAUUCAUCUUCGGUGUGAUUUGUAUAUAUGUAUUUAAAAUUUAAACUGACGU